ACAACGAAGAGUUUGAUCCUGGCUCAGGAUGAACGCUAGCGACAGGCUUAACACAUGCAAGUCGAGGGGCAGCGGGGGUAGCAAUACCCGCCGGCGACCGGCGCACGGGUGAGUAACGCGUAUGCAACUUACCUAUCAGAGGGGGAUAACCCGGCGAAAGUCGGACUAAUACCGCAUGAAGCAGGGGCCCCGCAUGGGGAUAUUUGCUAAAGAUUCAUCGCUGAUAGAUAGGCAUGCGUUCCAUUAGGCAGUUGGCGGGGUAACGGCCCACCAAACCGACGAUGGAUAGGGGUUCUGAGAGGAAGGUCCCCCACAUUGGUACUGAGACACGGACCAAACUCCUACGGGAGGCAGCAGUGAGGAAUAUUGGUCAAUGGCCGAGAGGCUGAACCAGCCAAGUCGCGUGAGGGAUGAAGGUUCUAUGGAUCGUAAACCUCUUUUAUAAGGGAAUAAAGUGCGGGACGUGUCCCGUUUUGUAUGUACCUUAUGAAUAAGGAUCGGCUAACUCCGUGCCAGCAGCCGCGGUAAUACGGAGGAUCCGAGCGUUAUCCGGAUUUAUUGGGUUUAAAGGGUGCGUAGGCGGCCUUUUAAGUCAGCGGUGAAAGUCUGUGGCUCAACCAUAGAAUUGCCGUUGAAACUGGGGGGCUUGAGUAUGUUUGAGGCAGGCGGAAUGCGUGGUGUAGCGGUGAAAUGCUUAGAUAUCACGCAGAACCCCGAUUGCGAAGGCAGCCUGCCAAGCCAUGACUGACGCUGAUGCACGAAAGCGUGGGGAUCAAACAGGAUUAGAUACCCUGGUAGUCCACGCAGUAAACGAUGAUCACUAGCUGUUUGCGAUACACAGUAAGCGGCACAGCGAAAGCGUUAAGUGAUCCACCUGGGGAGUACGCCGGCAACGGUGAAACUCAAAGGAAUUGACGGGGGCCCGCACAAGCGGAGGAACAUGUGGUUUAAUUCGAUGAUACGCGAGGAACCUUACCCGGGUUUGAACGCAUUCGGACCGAGGUGGAAACACCUUUUCUAGCAAUAGCCGUUUGCGAGGUGCUGCAUGGUUGUCGUCAGCUCGUGCCGUGAGGUGUCGGCUUAAGUGCCAUAACGAGCGCAACCCUUGCCACUAGUUACUAACAGGUGAUGCUGAGGACUCUGGUGGGACUGCCAGCGUAAGCUGCGAGGAAGGCGGGGAUGACGUCAAAUCAGCACGGCCCUUACAUCCGGGGCGACACACGUGUUACAAUGGCGUGGACAAAGGGAUGCCACCUGGCGACAGGGAGCGAAUCCCCAAACCACGUCUCAGUUCGGAUCGGAGUCUGCAACCCGACUCCGUGAAGCUGGAUUCGCUAGUAAUCGCGCAUCAGCCAUGGCGCGGUGAAUACGUUCCCGGGCCUUGUACACACCGCCCGUCAAGCCAUGGGAGCCGGGGGUACCUGAAGUCCGUAACCGAAAGGAUCGGCCUAGGGUAAAACUGGUGACUGGGGCUAAGUCGUAACAAGGUAGCCGUACCGGAAGGUGCGGCUGGAACACCUCCUUU
rnacentral:rRNA from 1 species